UUUCACCAUCUGGAUAUCCCUGGUGUUUGUUGAUCUGGGUGACUGUAUGGAGUCUGCCUCUUUUGUCCCUGGGUUGUUUCAAGUUUCCUGGUAGGCUUGCAGCCCUAGCUGUAUUAGACCACCUGUGAGGCCUUCCAACUGGGGCCUCUUUACAGGGGCAGAAAAGCUGCUGAUCUGUUGUCCUGGCUGCAGUAGAUCUCCUGGGAUGCCUUCAGACUUUUGGGUAUUCAGUGGAACAGUCAAGCUGUUGUUCAACUGUGCUGAGUACAGCCAGUCCUCAACUGCUCUGAGUGCAGCGAGUCCUCUAGGAUGUUUCUGGAUACGGAUUCUUCAUGGGAGCAGACCAACUAAGAGUCUGCCCCAGCAGCAAGGACUAAAUGGAAGGAGUUGUAGGGAUGGAGGGAAGGGGAGUGGUAUUGUGAAAGGUGGGGGUUUUGGUGGGUGAUGGGUCCUGAGGUCCACCAGGCUCCUAGCAGCAGCUCUGGGACUUGAGGGCCAGGGGUGGUGGUGUGUGUGAUGGUGGUGGGGUGGUUCUUACCAACUGCUCUGAGUGCAGCAGGUCCUUUAGGAUGGAUUGAUUUAUUCAUAUGUUGCCCCUUCCUUGAGCCUUCAUGAAUGUGCUGAUGGAUAAAGCAGUGAACGGAACACAGUGAGUCUAGCAUAGCAAUGGAAUCUAACAAUGGGCCGCUGGGCUUUUCUGAGUGAGUUUUUUGUUUUGUUUUUGUUUUUGUUUUUGUUUUUGUUUUGUUUUUGUUUUUUGAGACAGGGUUUCUCUGUGUAGCACUGGCUGUCCUGGAACUCACUCUGUAGACCAGACUGGCCUUAAACUCAGAAAUCCACCUGCCUCUGCCUCCCAAGUGCUGGGAUUAAAGGUGUGCGCCACCACCACCCAGCCUGAGUGAGCUUUUAAUUUUCUUCCUGUCGUUCAUCUGUUUUUGCUAUUUUAUGAGAGAUUGCCUUGGCUUCAUAUUUAAGUAUUAUAACUGAUUUGAUUUUAAUUUCUGUCUCUUUUUUCUUCUUAAUUUCCUGAUAUGCUUGCCUGUGCUCUGAUUAACCCCUUUUCUGGAAUCUUACCUUUGAUUCUUAUCUCUCUCUCUGAAAAAAGGUCUUAUUUUUAAAACACUUUUUCUAUUAUCUGCAUAAUUAAUAUUCAUCAUUUGCUUAUUGUGAGUCUCUGUUAUGUUGUUAGUUUCCCCUAAAUGCUUGAAGAUCCCCAUAUGUGUAUUCAUGUUUAAGCACUGAAAUUCUGCUUAGAUACCUGUCUAUAUGUGUGAGUUUCUCACAUUGUAAGCUGUUCUAUAGGCCAGGUAUAGGACAGGAAAGAAAGGAGAGGAAAACAUGAAAUUGAACCUGUAAAUGUUGGGUUUCUUAUUUACCAAGAUGAGCAAGUGUAAGCUUAAUUCUGAGCACCUAGACGAUAUUCAUGUCUGAGACAAGUCUUUUGUAGUCACUCCCUUUAGGCUUAGGGUGCAAAGUCUCUGUUUUUAUUUUGUUAUGCCUUCCUUUGUUAAGAUUCAUUUUACUUUUAAUGACUGAACAUUUGUCUGUUGCCUCCACAUGCCAUAUCCAUUGCUAAUGUAAUUAACUUCUUGUUUUCUGAAUAUCAGAGUUACACAAGAGCUCUAGCUAAUUAUUCUUGGACAGUUCAGGGGAUUGCUGAGUUCUAUUCUGAAGUCAUCUCCAAAAUGUGUCACUUGAUACUGUAUGUUCCAGGGUGUUGGUGGCAGUUGUAUCCUUAUGUUCUUCUCCUUUUCCUCCUUCUUCUCUUCUGUCCUCAUCCUUUUCUACUUGAGUAAUACUGAGUUUUUGACAUAAAGCAUAUGGAAGGGGUGACACACAUGAAACACCAUAGCCUCUCUCCAUUGCUUCCUUUUCCACUCAACAAGUAUGUGUUCUGAGUGAAUUAUGAACCAAACACCUCUGAGCAAAAAGGAGUGCUCUCUCUCUUCUGAGUAAGUCUGCAAUCUUCUGGAUAGCACAGGUGCUGGUGCCAAAGAAAUGCUCACGGUGAAGAAAGUUAUCUGAGCCUGGGAGGCAGUUCAGAGAGAGGCUUUUUGUUUUUAUUUUUGGUUUUGGUUUUUUGGUUUUUUUGUUUGUUUGUUUUUUUCAUCCUGGUGUUUUGGGAGAACAGAAUACUAUACUUUUAAGAACCCUCCCAAUGCUGGAAAGAGUUUUAGAGUAAUUGGAAUUACUGUUAAUAAGAAAGCAAGAGUUAUAGUGGAAUUAUGCAAGAUGUUCUUAAAUGCUUUCAUGCAAAACACAAAUUCUUGCUGCUUUGUUUCUGGAGAGGGAUGUUUUGAUCUGAACACUUAUAUGUUUAGACUUCUGUGUUGGAGGUCAUUUAAAACUCUCGGAAAGGAAUAAAACAGUGAGAUAAAUUGGAUAGUAAAGAAGAAAAAGAAAGGAAACACAUUUAAGUCAAUUUUCCCAGUGGGGGAAAAGUGUGGAAAGCCAGAUCUCUAGUUGUCUGAGCAAUUUUCACCUGUGUGUGAGACUGCAGAAAAUAAGAGGCAGCCUUCUGUCAUUUCAAAUGUGUCAGAAGAAUUCUCUUCUUAAAGCAUACCUGGGAACCCAGGUGCCAAUGCUGGCCACAGAGUACAUCAGCUCUCCCAGAAACUGAAGCAGGCUUGUCAAAUGCUCACAACAGGUUAUGGGAGCCUUGAUCAGGAGCCUAGUUGCCACAGGAGGAUGUGCCCCAAGGUUAUCACAGGUCCUAUGGAAGAGGUAAAUCUAGCAGUAGGGAAAAUGCACAGUGCUGAAGACUGUGGUUUAAUAGGUAGCUGUCCAAGAUGGACAGACACAGGAGGUAAAUUGACCAAAUCCAAGAUUUCACAAUUAUGACUUUUCUUUUAAUUCAGAUCAGCUAUGUUUAAGAAAGCAAGGAGCUUGAAGCCUGGACAGGGUAACAUAGACCAUGACUGGUAUUCCUUUCUCACUGAGGUUUAUGCAGGCUUCAGGGCUGUGACAUUCCAGAGUAAAAUGUGUCUCCUGGAGGUCUUCACAGCAGACUGGAAGAUCCUCUGAAGAAUGCCAAGUCAUGUGUGAAUUUAUAUGUACCUAGCACAUGGACUUUUCAAAGAAGCUCAUGUUUGUGAACUUUGUUCUCAUGAUAUAAAUUUGUUUGGAUGCCUUAUGAGAGGUUUUUAGUACCAGGAAAAAAAGUCUUUAUACAAACCACCUAAUAAAUUAUUUCUCUGCUGAUGAAAUGAGGCAAUUCAAGCCAGAUUGGAUUAUAUUAAACACAGGUUUAUUAGGAAGCUGCUCUCCAGGGAGUUCACCUGCCCUAAGGACCAAGGCCAGGAAAAUUACCAGGAGCAGGGGGAGGAGAGGGAAAGAUAGAGAAAGCAUGCACAGGGAAAGAGGAAAGGGAAGAGAAGAGAGGAGGGAGACCAAAAUGUCUAGAUUAUAUACACAAGAGCCUUUAGGGGAAGGGCUGGACUAGAAAAUUCAGAGUCAGGGGCAGGUUGUGCCAGGUAGAGAUUGAGGGAUUCUGGGAGAACAUGGAGGUCAGGUCUCCUUUAGUAAGUAAAAAAUGUGCCUCAGCUCCUCAUCCUAGAAUCUGAAACUAAAAAUCACCAGUUGGUCAACUGUGUUUCUAUGGAUAUCAGAAAUUAUACAAAGAGUAAGGACAUUAAUAUAUUGGUACUAAAUCACACCAAAGGACAAGUAAAAUUUCAUGGAAUCAUUACUGUCUUGCUAUGGAGUCAUUGCUCUGUUGCUAUGGGAUCAUUACUCUGUUGCUAUGGGGACAUUAUUCUUUGGUUCUAUGGUGAGGUACAAAUGAUGGACAUUACUCCAAAAGGGACGCAUUCCCUUUCUUUUUGUAGACUUGACUCUGGGUCGGAAGUCUCUAUCAAGCAAUGAAUCAACUUCCCCAGUCUUUGCUGAAUCUAGACAGAGUUGUGUAAUCACUUCUCACCAAUGUCCUUGGAUGGAAGCCAUUAUGACUGGGCCAGGGCAGGGAAAAAGCAGUCUUCAACCAGGUCUUCAGACUAAUCCAGGUGCCUGAUUAGCCUCUCAAACCAAACACCAUCUUAGAGAAUCAUUGUAUGUAGGAGGAAUGAGUCAACCUACCCUGAGUGUCAGCCCAUAUGACUCAUGCAUAUACAACAGCUGCAUCUACAUUUUACAACCUUAAGAUCUGCCUGGCACAUGGAAACAAAUGACCACAGAGUGCGUGACCAGAACAGCCAAAUAAAUGGUGCCAACUACAUGGAGCAAGAUAUCAUGGACCACUGGGGUAUGGGUAGAGGGCAUAAAGGCACACCCCAAUCCUGCAAUAAAUGAGUCUGCCUCUGAUUUUCACGUAA